GCUAUAGCUCAGGAGAAGAGCACCUGCUUUGUAUGCAGAAGAUCCCAGGUUCAAUCCCUUGUGUCUACA